UACGUAGGGUGCGAGCGUUAAUCGGAAUUACUGGGCGUAAAGCGUGCGCAGGCGGCGUCGCAAGUCAGGCGUGAAAUCCCCGAGCUUAACUUGGGAAUGGCGCUUGAAACUACGGUGCUGGAGUGUGGCAGAGGGAGGUGGAAUUCCACGUGUAGCGGUGAAAUGCGUAGAGAUGUGGAGGAACACCGAUGGCGAAGGCAGCCUCCUGGGCCAACACUGACGCUCAUGCACGAAAGCGUGGGGAGCAAACAGG
rnacentral:rRNA from 1 species